UACUUCCGUCAGGGUCAUGAGGCGUAUGUAGAGAUGACCAAACAGAACAAGAUCUACAGCAUCAACCCUAAGAAACAACCCUGGCACAAGAUGGAGUUACGGGAGCAGGAGCUGGUGAAGAUAGUAGGGCUAAAAAUAUGAGGUUGGUCUCCCUCUCUCUGCUGCCUCAACUGGCCUUCCUGGACCUGAUACUGGCAAGCUGACUGGAGGAUCCUUCUCCAUGAAAUACCACGACAUGCCUGACGUGAUUGACUUCCUGGUUCUGCGGCAGCAGUUUGAUGAUGGCGAGAGACCACCACUGGACCAUAGGU